UAGUGACAGAGUGAGGGAGGGGGUGAUUAGUGACAGAGUGAGGGAUGGGGUGACUAGUGACAGUCACCACCUCCUUCACUCUGUCACUGUGUCACCCCUUUCCUCACUCUGUCACUAGUCACCCACUCCCUUCCUCACUCUGUCA